rnacentral:rRNA from 1 species
UACGAAGGGUGCAAGCGUUACUCGGAAUUACUGGGCGUAAAGCGUGCGUAGGUGGUUUGUUAAGUCUGCUGUGAAAGCCCCGGGCUCAACCUGGGAAUGGCAGUGGAUACUGGAAAGCUAGAGUGCGGUAGAGGGUAGUGGAAUUCCCGGUGUAGCAGUGAAAUGCGUAGAGAUCGGGAGGAACACCAGUGGCGAAGGCGGCUACCUGGACCAGCACUGACACUGAGGCACGAAAGCGUGGGGAGCAAACAGG